CCUAUCUCAAAAUAAAGCAAAGAUUGUUGACAAUGUUAAUAUUUGGCAAAGAUAAGUCUUUCGUUGGAAGCUACUCCAGACAAUGCAAAUUAUACGUAAAUAGUAUAUGAAACACCAUUGCUAUCGUAAUAUCUUAGUAUUUUAAAAUUUUUAAAAAAAGGAAAAAUAUAUAUUUUUUUCAAAUUUGUGAAUAAUUUUCAAGAAAGAAGUAAAAUAAUUUUAAAGUGAAGAAAAAGACAGCGUGAUGGUUCAAAACACAUUUUAAAAUCUGUUGCAUAAUUGAAUAGUUCGACAGUCGAGAAUAAUACGAUACCGAAGAUCGUUAUCGUAUCGAAGGGCGCCACUAUCGAUGAUACAUCAGAAAAUUUGAAAGUAUACCAGUCAAAAUACGAUUAUCUACGCGGUAUGCGUGUCGUGUUUGAGUAUUCGGUUUUUUGAACGAUUUCAUGAUCGAAACGUGUGUAGAGAUUUGUGCAAUGAAUUCUCCAGACACUAAAAGUUCUAAAUAAAGCUUAAAGGUCGUAGAAGUUCCUGGAAAUGUAACGUAGCCCAGUAUUACUUGUGGAUAACUCGUAUUAGUGUACAAGGAGGGACGCGGGAGAAACUGAUUGGCAGAUUGCGUUUCAUAACUGACGGGAAUAGUUAGUCAAUCAAGAUCGGCAAUUUUCAAAUUUUGCCGGCGACUGAUAGUUUCAGUGGAAAUUGUUUGCCGACGCUGAAAGGGUCAAAGAUGAUUUUAUCGUUUCAUCGAUUUUGCAAAAUGUAUCUUGAAAUUGUUCGGUAUUCAUUUUAAAUAUAGUGGUGAUAAAUCUUUCAAAGAAUACUGUCGAGAAAGAAUCGUCGAAAUUUACUUCCAGAAAAGAAUCAACAAGUUCUACGUAUACUUCGUUUCGAAGAUAUUAAAGAAAUCGAGGUGAACAGUCGACUCGUGGAAAAAGAAAAAGAAAAAGAAAAGCUUUGUAAGUGUGCGAAGAAGAAACGAAUACUUUGGUGAAAAGAAUAAUAAUCCUUAAUUGGAGUCUUUAACAAACAAUCAAAUAUUAUCGAGAAAAAAAAUUGAUUAACCAUCCCCAACGAUGGACAUUGUUUGCCAAAAGGAAGAUCGACUAUAAUCUGGAUCACGAACCACGUUUACUCCUUUCUUCCUAUAUUAAUUCGAAAAAUAUUGCGGUCAGAAGAGUAUUGAUCUCUACAGACGAGACCUCUUUCAAUAUUUUUUUUAAACGUGAAACGUCCCGUUAACGUGCUGAA